UAGUGAGCGGCACAGCUCAAAUUUGAAUCUGGCCCCUAGGGUCCGAGUUGUAAUUUGUAGAGGAUGCUUUUGGUGAGGUGCCGCCCGAGUUCCCUGGAACGGGACGCCGCAGAGGGUGAGAGCCCCGUCUGGCUGGCCACCGAGCCUCUGUAAAGCUCCUUCGACGAGUCGAGUAGUUGGGGAAUGCUGCUCAAAAUGGGAGGUAUAUGUCUUCUAAAGAUAAAUGUUGCCCAGAGACCGAUCGCGCACAAGUAGAGUGAUCGAAAGAUGAAAAGCACCUUGAAAAGAGGGUUAAACAGUACGUGAAAUUGUUGAAAGGGAAGCGCUUGUGACCAGACUUGGGCGCGGCGGAUCAUCCGGGGUUCUCCCCGGUGCACUUCGCCGCGUUCAGGCCAGCAUCAGUUCGGCGCGGGGGAAAAAGGCUUCGGGAACGUGGCUCCUCCGGGAGUGUUAUAGCCCGUUGCAUAAUACCCUGCGCUGGACUGAGGACCGCGCAUCUGCAAGGAUGCUGGCGUAAUGGUCACCAGCGACCCGUCUUGAAACACGGACCAAGGAGUCGUCUUCGUAUGCGAGUGUUCGGGUGUCAAACCCCUACGCGUAAUGAAAGUGAACGCAGGUGAGAGCUUCGGCGCAUCAUCGACCGAUCCUGAUGUUCUCGGAUGGAUUUGAGUAAGAGCAUACGGGGCCGGACCCGAAAGAAGGUGAACUAUGCCUGUAUAGGGUGAAGCCAGAGGAAACUCUGGUGGAGGCUCGCAGCGGUUCUGACGUGCAAAUCGAUCGUCAAAUAUGGGCAUGGGGCGACAGACUAUCG
rnacentral:rRNA from 1 species